rnacentral:rRNA from 1 species
GCUCAGUAACACGUGGAUAACAUACCCUAAAGUGGAGCAUAAUCUCGGAAAACUGAGGAUAAUACUCCAUAGGUCACGAGAUCUGGAAAGACUUGUGGCUCAAAGUUCCGGCGCUUUAGGAUUGGUCUGCGGCCUAUCAGGUAGUAGUGGGUGUAACGGACCCACUAGCCGAUGACGGGUAUGGGCCUUGAGAGAGGGAGCCCAGAGAUGGAUUCUGAGACACGAAUCCAGGCCCUACGGGGCGCAGCAGUCGCGAAAACUUCACAAUGGAGGCAACUCCGAUGAGGGAAUUCCUAGUGCCAAUGCAUUUUGUGUUGGCUUUUCUUCAGCGUAGAUAACUGUUGGAAUAAGGGCUGGGUAAGACGGGUGCCAGCCGCCGCGGUAAUACCCGCAGCCCAAGUGGUGGUCGAUAUUAUUGAGUCUAAAACGUUCGUAGCCGGUUCAAUAAAUCUCUGGGUAAAUCGGAGGGCUUAACCUUCCGAAUUCCGGAGAGACUGUUGAACUUGGGACCGGGAGAGGCAAGAGGUACUUCUGGGGUAGGGGUAAAAUCCUGUAAUCCUAGAAGGACCACCGGUGGCGAAGGCGUCUUGCUAGAACGGAUCCGACGGUGAGGGACGAAGCCCUGGGUCGCAAACGGGAUUAGAUACCCCGGUAGUCCAGG